rnacentral:rRNA from 1 species
GGUUAAGCUAAUAAGAGCGCAGGGUGGAUGCCUUGGCACUAAGAGCCGAAGAAAGACGUGAUAAGCUGCGAAAAGCUGCGGGGAGGAGCAAAUAUCUAGUGAUCCGCAGAUAUCUGAAUGGGGAAACCCGGCGGAGGAAGACUCCGUCACCGUUAACUGAAUCCAUAGGUUAACGGAGGGAACCCGGUGAACUGAAACAUCUAAGUAGCCGGAGGAAGAGAAAGAAACAUCGAUACCGGGAGUAGCGGCGAGCGAAACCGGCAGAGCCCAAACCGAGAUGCGUGCAUUUCGGGGUUCGGACUGCACAAGUGACUGAUAAGGAUAACGGAAUGGAACUGGAAAGACCAUCCAUAGAGGGUGAAAGACCCGUACGUGAAAUCUGCAUCAGCGCGGCAGGAUCCAGAGUAGGACGAGACACGUGAAACCUUGUCUGAAUAAGCGGGGACCACCCCGUAAGGCUAAAUACUCCUUAGUGACCGAUAGCGCAUAGUACUGUGAAGGAAAGGUGAAAAGAACCCCGGGAGGGGAGUGAAAGAGAACCUGAAACCCUGUGUUUACAAGCUGUGGAACACCCAUACGUGGUGAACCGCGUACUUUUUGUAGAACGGUCCGGCGAGUUACCGAUCUUGGCAAGGUUAAGCACUUAAGGUGUGGAGCCGAAGGGAAACCAAGUCUUAAUAGGGCAUAAAGUCAAUGUCGGUAGACCCGAAACCGGGUGAUCUAUCCAUGUCCAGGUUGAAGCUGUCGUAAAAGGCGGUGGAGGACCGAACGCACAUCCGUUGAAAAGGGUGGCGAUGAGGUGUGGAUAGGGGAGAAAUUCCAAUCGAACCCGGAGAUAGCUGGUUCUCCUCGAAAUAGCUUUAGGGCUAGCCUC